rnacentral:tRNA from 1 species
GCCCUUGUGGUGAAACGGAUAUCACAUCUGGCUUCGGACCAGAAAUUCCGGGUUCAAAUCCUGGCGAGGGCA